UGGGGAACAUUGGACAAUGGGGGCAACCCUGAUCCAGCCAUGCCGCGUGAGUGAUGAAGGCCUUAGGGUUGUAAAGCUCUUUCGUCAGGGAAGAUAAUGACGGUACCUGAAGAAGGAGCCCCGGCUAACUUCGUGCCAGCAGCCGCGGUAAUACGGAGGGUGCAAGCGUUAAUCGGAAUUACUGGGCGUAAAGCGCACGUAGGCUGUAGUGUAAGUCAGGGGUGAAAUCCCACGGCUCAACCGUGGAACUGCCUUUGAUACUGCACAACUUGAAUCCGGGAGAGGGUGGCGGAAUUCCAGGUGUAGGAGUGAAAUCCGUAGAUAUCUGGAGGAACAUCAGUGGCGAAGGCGGCCACCUGGACCGGUACUGACGCUGAGGUGCGAAAGCGUGGGGAGCAAACA
rnacentral:rRNA from 1 species